GACGAACGUUGGCGGCGUGCUUAAUACAUGCAAGUCAACUGAAGCAGUGGUAGCAAUAUCGCUGUGGAGGUGGCGCACGGGUGAGUAACACGUAGGUAAUCUGCCUUCAGGUCUGGCAUAACUCCGGGAAACCGGGGCUAAUAGCAGAUGAUGCAGCGGCUCGACAUCGAGACAGUUGUUAAAGCUAUGGCGCCUGAAGAUGAGCCUGCGUCUGAUUAGCUAGUUGGCGGGGUAACGGCCCACCAAGGCAACGAUCAGUAGCUGGUCUGAGAGGAUGAUCAGCCACACUGGAACUGAGACACGGUCCAGACUCCCACGGGAGGCAGCAGUAAGGAAUAUUGCUCAAUGGGAGAAAUCCUGAAGCAGCAACGCCGCGUGAGGGACGAAGGGCUUUUGCUUGUAAACCUCUGUAGUGAGAGAAAAAAAUCCCAAUCUUUGGGACAUGAUGGUAUCUCAAAAGUAAGCCCCGGCUAACUACGUG
rnacentral:rRNA from 1 species